UUACGGUCAAAUCACGCUGAAACACCGGUUCUCGUACGAUCACCGAAGUUAAGCAGCGUAGAGCCAGGUCAGUACUUAGAUGGGGACCGCUUGAACACCUGGUACUGUAAG
rnacentral:rRNA from 1 species